rnacentral:lncRNA from 1 species
UUUUCCAUUAGCCUUUUUCUUAGGAUGCAAAGCUUUUCGGAUCCCCAUCUCUUGUAAAUCUAAACGGGAGUUUAAAUUAUCUUUUCCUUUUCCAUCAACAUUCAAUAAUGUCCAAAAUAUAUUGUCAAAGACAUUCUUUUCAAUAUGCAUCGUAUCAAGAUUAUGACGAAUCAUAUUGUCUUUCCAGUAUUCCAACUCAAAAAAUAUGCUCUUUUUGUUCCAUAUAUUUUGCACCAAAUUAUCAACAUCAUCCCAUUUCCUUUUACGAGAUUUGGCCAAUAGAUCUUUACCAAACUUGUUUUUAACAUUAUUCAAUUGCUUAAGAAUCUCAAUUCCUGUCAACCAUUUAGGUGCUCCAUCUAACUCCACAAGGCCAUUGAAUGCCACUUUAUCUUUUCAAAACUUGUGUCCAUGAGAUAACUAUCGUCUAUGAGACAUG